rnacentral:rRNA from 1 species
AUUGAACGCUGGCGGCAGGCCUAACACAUGCAAGUCGAGCGAGCGGCGGACGGGUGAGUAAUGUAUGGGGAUCUGCCCGAUAGAGGGGGAUAACUACUGGACACGGUGGCUAAUACCGCAUACUCUCGUAUAACCCCAUAUGGGAUUAGCUAGUGGGUGGGGUAAAGGCUCACCUAGGCGACGAUCUCUAGCUGGUCUGAGAGGAUGAUCAGCCACACUGGGACUGAGACACGGCCCAGACUCCUACGGGAGGCAGCAGUGGGGAAUAUUGCACAAUGGGCGCAAGCCUGAUGCAGCCAUGCCGCGUGUAUGAAGAAGGCCUUAGGGUUGGAAAGUACUUUCAGCGGGGAGGCGUUACCGGCAGAAGAAGCACCGGCUAACUCCGUGCCAGCAGCCGCGGUAAUUC